rnacentral:rRNA from 1 species
AUGGCUCAGGAUGAACGCUGGCGGCGUGCUUAACACAUGCAAGUCGAACGGAACAGAAGUUUCGGAUUCUGUUAGUGGCGGACGGGUGAGUAACGCGUGGGUAACCUGCCUCAGACAGGGGGAUAACGGUUGGAAACGACCGCUAAUACCGCAUAAGCCCACAGUGCCGCAUGGCACAGUGGGAAAAGAUUCAUCGGUUUGAGAUGGACCCGCGUCUGAUUAGUUAGUUGGUGGGGUAACGGCCUACCAAGACGACGAUCAGUAGCCGACCUGAGAGGGUGAUCGGCCACAUUGGGACUGAGACACGGCCCAAACUCCUACGGGAGGCAGCAGUGGGGAAUAUUGCGCAAUGGGGGAAACCCUGACGCAAGCAACGCCGCGUGAGUGAAGAAGUAUUUCGGUAUGUAAAGCUCUAUCAGCAGGGACGAAAAUGACGGUACCUGCAGAAGAAGUCCCGGCUAACUACGUGCCAGCCGCCGC